rnacentral:ncRNA from 1 species
UUAAAAGCUAUGAUGGAGAAGAGUAAGCGAGACAGGAUGUUGCAGAGAGAAGGCAUCACCGGCUGUAAGUGCCUUUAACGGAAUACUUGCCAAAGUUCCCUCCGAAGCUGUGGUUCUGAACUAAUAUAUGAUUUUGCCAGGCAUUCGGCAUGAGAUGCCGGCUGGCACAUCAGUGUAGGAACUGCCGGUAAAAACCGUUAUAUUUUAAUGAGUUUGGAGAUUGGUUUUUACAGUUAAUGUACUGCAUUCAAUGUCUCCGAUAAAACUGGGUGGUACCGCGGAGAAUGCCUUCGUCCCUUUG